UUGUGUGUGUGUGUGUGUGUGUGUGUGUGUGUAUUUCUACAAUUUUACAAUUUCAUUUAGCAGACGCUUUUGUCCAAAGCGACGUACAACAUAAGCAAGAAUUUAGAC